AGUUAACAGAAGAUGAGCUCGCUUGGGAAGAAAAGACAAGCAGACCUGGUCGAUUAGAUUUUUCAAGGUUUUUACAAUUCAAAUAAAUCGUGCACAAUUACCACCUCAAGAUUGGCCAAGUCACAGAUUCCUUGCAAAAAUAAUACCCAAAAUUAUACUCAAACUUGUACUAAAAUAGAGGUGUGCGCAUUAAGUACUGUCAUGUCUGUAGUAGACGGACAGACGGUGGUCAAUCGGCAGGUGAAAUAAAAGACAAAGUAAUUUUAAUAUUUUUAAACUGUAAAAUAAUUGUGUUGUAAUGGUAGCUACUACAUAGAAUAAUGCUCAACACUAAAUCCUUUGUAGAGCAGUGAACUGAAUCAGAAAGAAGAACACUUGCAUGAAGAUUGCCAAACUACAUGAAAGUUUAAGUAGAAACAAUUAUACUGUUUUUAGAUUAAGUACAUGUAUAGUUACUAUAACAUUUUUCAUGUACGUUAAUUUUCUUGCUUUUAAAUAUGACAACAUUUGCAUGUGAAGGUUUUAAUCGCCAUCUGCCACUCUGCAGGCUGCUUCAUUUACUGUUCAGAGUACUGUGGAUUUUCCGAACACUAAUGAAUGCAUUGAAAGGAACGAGGUCAAAUGUCAGUUCUGAACUUUUCUGACUACCACUCUCCUCCGCAGAGGCUUGUCAUAUUGGUCUUGGGAGGUUUCAGGCAUUGAUUCUUAUACAGUAAGUCAUACACGAUUUUUUUACGGCGAGAGAGGGAGCGCGUGGUACACAUUGUGAAAUUAAGGGAUACAAAAUGCCUUACAUUUUCCAGGUUACAGCCCUCAUGUUAAAUUAUUACAAAAGCAUAAAUAAACUAAAACCGCGAACUGACUUCCCUUAAUUGCUCCCGCUCGCGUUUACCAAUUGCCUGAAUGCCUUACAUGUUUCCUGUGUACAGCCCUCGUGUUAAAUGAUUUUUAAAGCGUGAAUAAACUAAAACCGCAGAGGCCUGGGGAGGAGAGAGCUUACUACCCCCAAUAUUUUGAGUCGGGAUACAGGUAUGCACAUUCCAUUACAGAACAGUGUUCUGACUGUUUCAGAACAGUACAUUGAGCAGCAUGCAGGUCAUGCAUGCGCGUUUAAUCAGCCAAUAGAUACUUUUUUCUGUGUGUGUAUUGUUAUACGUGUUAAUACAUGCGCACAACACUACAUGUAAAGAACAAUACUGAUAAUUAGUUAGAAAAUUACUAAAUAAAACUUCUUUUGUUUCUACUUGGUGCUUUGAAGCAGAAAUAGUUUUAUAUCUGCCUAGUGUACUAUAAUUGCAUAAAGAGAAUCAAAAUGGGUUUGAUUGAUUGCAGCUAACAUUUUUUAUAUAGUUGACUGGACAAUAAACUUAACUGAUAACUAUCGUUAUUGUUUUUGGUCCGGAACUGCCGGUCCGUAGCAAAU